AAUAGAUACCCAGGUAGUCCACGCCGUAAACGAUGUUGACUUGGAGGUUGUUCCCUUGAGGAGUGGCUUCCGGAGCUAACGCGUUAAGUCGACCGCCUGGGGAGUACGGCCGCAAGGUUAAAACUCAAAUGAAUUGACGGGGGCCCGCACAAGCGGUGGAGCAUGUGGUUUAAUUCGAUGCAACGCGAAGAACCUUACCUACUCUUGACAUCCAGAGAACUUAGCAGAGAUGCUUUGGUGCCUUCGGGAACUCUGAGACAGGUGCUGCAUGGCUGUCGUCAGCUCGUGUUGUGAAAUGUUGGGUUAAGUCCCGCAACGAGCGCAACCCUUAUCCUUUGUUGCCAGCGGUUCGGCCGGGAACUCAAAGGAGACUGCCAGUGAUAAACUGGAGGAAGGUGGGGAUGACGUCAAGUCAUCAUGGCCCUUACGAGUAGGGCUACACACGUGCUACAAUGGCGUAUACAAAGAGAAGCGACCUCGCGAGAGCAAGCGGACCUCAUAAAGUACGUCGUAGUCCGGAUUGGAGUCUGC
rnacentral:rRNA from 1 species